rnacentral:rRNA from 1 species
GAUGAACGCUGGCGGCGUGCCUAAUACAUGCAAGUCGAGCGAACAGAUGAGGAGCUUGCUCCUCUGACGUUAGCGGCGGACGGGUGAGUAACACGUGGAUAACCUACCUAUAAGACUGGGAUAACUUCGGGAAACCGGAGCUAAUACCGGAUAAUAUAUUGAACCGCAUGGUUCAAUAGUGAAAGACGGUUUUGCUGUCACUUAUAGAUGGAUCCGCGCCGCAUUAGCUAGUUGGUAAGGUAACGGCUUACCAAGGCAACGAUGCGUAGCCGACCUGAGAGGGUGAUGGCCACACUGGAACUGAGACACGGUCCAGACUCCUACGGGAGGCAGCAGUAGGGAAUCUUCCGCAAUGGGCGAAAGCCUGACGGAGCAACGCCGCGUGAGUGAUGAAGGUCUUCGGAUCGUAAAACUCUGUUAUUAGGGAAGAACAAAUGUGUAAGUAACUAUGCACGUCUUGACGGUACCUAAUCAGAAAGCCACGGCUAACUACGUG